ACUGAGACUUCUGCACCAUCUGAACCAUCAGUCACUCUCUGGCCCAGAGAGGUGGUGUUAUUUGCCAAGGACACACAGCAGGUGGCCAAGAUGGAGCCAAGCCAUUUUCCCCACUGCAGGUCUUCUGCUUCUUCUCCAGCUCAUGGUUUCGACUUUGUUGGUUCUCUAGCAGGACGCAGGUAUCCUCAAGGUCACAGACCCCUGAUCUCCAUUCCCCUGGACAUCUCAAGGGCACAAAUUCUCUGGACACACGGAGGGAAUAAUGCUGACAUUUUAUAGAAGCUGACCCACUGGAUAUCCUUCUCACCCAACUCCAUUAGGCUGGGGAGAGUAAGAGGCACGGUGACAAGGUGGCAAAGAUGUCACCAUGCCAUCCAAUCACGAGGUCUCCAGGAAACUGUAUAAGAAGGACACCUCCAGAAACUCCUGGCACUACUGAACAAAUGUAUAAUAUCCCUGGGUAAAACCAAGAGUCCUCUCG
rnacentral:lncRNA from 1 species